GACGAACGCUGGCGGCGUGCUUAACACAUGCAAGUCGAACGGAAAGGCCCUGCUUUUGUGGGGUGCUCGAGUGGCGAACGGGUGAGUAACACGUGAGUAACCUGCCCUUGACUUUGGGAUAACUUCAGGAAACUGGGGCUAAUACCGGAUAGGAGCUCCUGCUGCAUGGUGGGGGUUGGAUAGUUUCGGCGGUUGGGGAUGGACUCGCGGCUUAUCAGCUUGUUGGUGGGGUAGUGGAUUACCAAGGCUUUGACGGGUAGCCGGCCUGAGAGGGUGACCGGCCACAUUGGGACUGAGAUACGGCCCAGACUCCUACGGGAGGGAGCAGUGGGGAAUAUUGCACAAUGGGCGGAAGCCUGAUGCAGCAACGCCGCGUGCGGGAUGAAGGCCUUCGGGUUGUAAACCGCUUUCGCCUGUGACGAAGCGUGAGUGACGGUAAUGGGUAAAGAAGCACCGGCUAACUACGUG
rnacentral:rRNA from 1 species